rnacentral:rRNA from 1 species
AAACUUGAGAGUUUGAUCAUGGCUCAGAACGUACGCUGGCGGCACGCCUAACACAUGCAAGUCGAACGAAGUAGCAAUACUUAGUGGCAGACGGGUGAGUAACAUGUGGGUAUCUGCCCUUUGGCCUGGAAUAACACGAGGAAACUUGUGCUAAUACUGGAUAAGUCUUUACGGAGAAAGCUUUAUGCACCAUAGGAUGAGCCCGCACUUGAUUAGUUUGUUGGUGGGGUAAUGGCCUACCAAGACUUUGAUCAAUAGCUGAUUUGAGAGGAUGAUCAGCCACAUUGGGACUGAGACACGGCCCAAACUCCUACGGGAGGCAGCAGUGGGGAAUCUUGCACAAUGGAGGAAACUCUGAUGCAGCGAUGCCGCGUGAGUGAAGAAGGCCCUUGGGUUGUAAAGCUCUUUCGUCGGGGAAGAAAAUGACUGUACCCGAAUAAGAAGGUCCGGCUAACUUCGUGCCAGCAGCCGCGGUAAUACGAAGGGACCUAGCGUAGUUCGGAAUUACUGGGCUUAAAGAGUUCGUAGGUGGUUGAAAAAGUUGGUGGUGAAAUCCCAGAGCUUAACUCUGGAACUGCCAUCAAAACUUUUCAGCUAGAGUUUGAUAGAGGAAAGCAGAAUUUCUAGUGUAGAGGUGAAAUUCGUAGAUAUUAGAAAGAAUACCAAUUGCGAAGGCAGCUUUCUGGAUCAUUACUGACACUGAGGAACGAAAGCAUGGGUAGCGAAGAGGAUUAGAUACCCUCGUAGUCCAUGCCGUAAACGAUGUGUGUUAGACGUUGGAAAUUUAUUUUCAGUGUCGCAGCGAAAGCGAUAAACACACCGCCUGGGGAGUACGACCGCAAGGUUAAAACUCAAAUGAAUUGACGGGGACCCGCACAAGUAGUGGAGCAUGUGGUUUAAUUCGAAGAUACGCGCAGAACCUUACCAACACUUGACAUGUUCGUCGCGACUUUAAGAGAUUAAAGUUUUCGGUUCGGCCGGACGAAACACAGGUGCUGCAUGGCUGUCGUCAGCUCGUGUCGUGAGAUGUUGGGUUAAGUCCCGCAACGAGCGCAACCCUCACUUUUAGUUGCCAUCAUUAAGUUGGGCACUCUGAAAGAACUGCCAGUGAUAAGCUGGAGGAAGGUGGGGAUGACGUCAAGUCCUCAUGGCCCUUACGUGUUGGGCUACACACGUGCUACAAUGGUAUCUACAACAGGAAGCGAAACAGCGAUGUUAAGCAAAUCCUUAAAAGAUACCUCAGUUCGGAUUGCACUCUGCAACUCGAGUGCAUGAAGCUGGAAUUACUAGUAAUCGUGGAUCAGCGUGCCACGGUGAAUGCGUUCCCGGGUCUUGUACACACCGCCCGUCACACCAUGGGAGUUGGUUCUACCUUAAGGCAAGGUUUAAUACCCUUGACCACGGUAUAGUCAGCGACUGGGGUGAAGUCGUAACAAGGUAGCCGUAGGGGAACCUGCGGCUGGAUUACCUCCUUU